UACGUAGGGGGCUAGCGUUGUCCGGAAUCAUUGGGCGUAAAGAGCGCGUAGGCGGCUAGAUAAGUCCGGUGUGAAAGUCACAGGCUCAACCUGUGAAUGCCGCUGGAAACUGUCUGGCUAGAGUACGGAAGGGGCGAGUGGAAUUCCUGGUGUAGCGGUGAAAUGCGCAGAUAUCAGGAAGAACACCAAUGGCGAAGGCAGCUCUCUGGGACGGUACUGACGCUGAGACGCGAAAGCGUGGGGAGCGAACAGG
rnacentral:rRNA from 1 species